AAAAAUAAGCAUGUGUCUUCCACAUCAUCAUGAAAACCUUCCCUUCUCUCUUCCCAUGCAGCAAAAAACGUGAACCACACACCAAUACUCAAUUGUCAUGAGCUACCAAGUGAUUUUUGCAAAAAGUUCUUCAAACCAAAGGUCCAAUGAAAGAUACUUUGAAUGCUUCACCCAAGAUGCCAUGUAAGCAAAGAAAACAACCUCAAAC
rnacentral:lncRNA from 1 species